GUGUCAGCAGCCGCGGUAAUACGGAGGGUGCGAGCGUUGUCCGGAAUCACUGGGCGUAAAGGGCGCGUAGGCGGCCGUGUAAGUCACUUGUGAAAUCCCGGGGCUCAACUCCGGGGCUGCAGGUGAGACUGCAUGGCUAGAGCACGGUAGAGGCGAGUGGAAUUCCCGGUGUAGCGGUGGAAUGCGUAGAUAUCGGGAAGAACACCGGUGGCGAAGGCGGCUCGCUGGGCCGUUGCUGACGCUGAGGCGCGAAAGCGUGGGGAGCAAACAGGAUUAGAUACCCCAGUAGUCC
rnacentral:rRNA from 1 species